AAGUAGCAUAAUUUACAUAUGACUUACAGUUUGUUUUAAUAAAUAUCAAACAUUCAAUUUAAUGGUGCAUUAUAGCUGUCACCUAGAUGAACAAUUACAGUUGUUUUUAUGACUGUAAGUCAUUCUCUUCAAAUGCUACUGACGUUAGAAAAGUGUAUAACAAUAUCACAUGUAACUUUAGAGACGGUCCCUAAAUUUGAGACUCUCGAAUGUCCAAUGUCAAGCCAACUUUAUGCCUGUUUUUGUUUUGUUUUUUACUUUAUUUUUCUUUUCUCUGUGCUGGAUUGCUGAUGUCUUUUACCCGGGCAUAGAUGUCCAUCCAUCAAUUACGAACAUUCAUCCGCAAAUGUCCGAGCGGUCGCGAGCGCGGAUGGGAGAAUGGCGCAUGUUUUAUUUUUUUUGAGCUACUGGGAUGGUGCCCCCUCUGGGAGUUGGUGCCCUACGAAGACUGCGUAUUCUGCAUAUAGGGAGCGGCGGUACUAUCUGGAAGAUAUAUUCCUCAAACCGUCGUACAAGAGGAGGUGAUGCUAGUACUUCAAGCAUCUCUCAAAACCUAUCUGUUCAUAAAGCCUAUAUAUAAAGUCUUAAUAUAGUAUUCCACAAUAUGUUGUGCUAUUCUAAUAUUAUUGUGGUUUUUUAUUGACAUUGUUAUUUGCUGUUAUUUUUUGUUUUAAUAUUGUUACUGUUGUUACUUGUUGUACGGUGACCUUGAGUGGUUUGAAAGGCGCCUUAAAUAAAAUGCAUUAUUAUUAUUAUUAUUAUUAUUAUUAUUAUUAUUAUUAUUAUUAGCUGUACACUUGAUAAAAAAAAUUAAAUAUAAACUUAUGCAAUUGUAUAUAUAUGUAUAUAUAGUGUACAGUUUUCUUUUAUUGCAUCUUGAAAUAAAUGUUUCUGAGUUC